CUUGGGAACUAAAAAUCCUGAGAGGGCCGACGUAGAAAUAUCCGUCAAAAAUACAAAUAUCUUGGGAAUUAAAAAUCCUGAGAGUGAAUCAGUAGAAUGUUAUCAGAAGAAAUCAUAAGGCCUAGCCGAAGCCCUUACAAUUCACCAGUUCUGGUAGUCCCAAAGAAAGGAGAAAUUUAAGACGGAAAACGUAAGGUAUCCAAUGCAAGACCCAUUAGUAAUUCUUUCUAAUUUGGGGAACGCAAGAUAUUUUUCAACAACAGAUUUAGAAUCAGGUUUUCAUCAGAUAUUAAUGAAGGAAUCUGGUGUCAAAAAAAGCAUAUUUUUCAAAUAAAAUGGAAAAUACGAAUUUUUAAGAAUACCAUUCGGAUUAACAAAUGCAACAAGAAUUUUUCAGCGAACAAUGGACGACAUCCUAAAAGAACAAGAAGGGAAAAUAUGUCAUGUCUACGUGGUCGACAUUAUAAUAUUCUCAAAUUCAAUUGAAACAAAAUAAUAAUUAUAUUAUUAAGGGCAAAACUGAAAAUCUCUUUGGAAAAAUCAAUAAAAAUAAAAACGCGAACCCAGUUUUCUAGGAUA